rnacentral:rRNA from 1 species
CAGCCGCCACGGGAAUACGAAGGGGGCUAGCGUUGUUCGGAUUUACUGGGCGUAAAGGGCGCGUAGGCGGACUGAUAAGUCAGGGGUGAAAUCCCAAGGCUCAACCUUGGAACUGCCUUUGAUACUGUUUGUCUUGAGUUCGAGAGAGGUAAGUGGAACUGCGAGUGUAGAGGUGAAAUUCGUAGAUAUUCGCAAGAACACCAGUGGCGAAGGCGGCUUACUGGCUCGAAACUGACGCUGAGGCGCGAAAGCGUGGGGAGCAAACAGGAUUAGAUACCCGAGUAGUCCCUGUCUCUUAUAC